GACGAACGCUGGCGGCGUGCUUAACACAUGCAAGUCGAACGGAAAGGCCCUGCUUUUGUGGGGUGCUCGAGUGGCGAACGGGUGAGUAACACGUGAGGAACCUGCCCUUGACUGUGGGAUAACUUCAGGAAACUGGGGCUAAUACCGGAUAGGAGCUCCUGCUGCAUGGGGGGGGUUGGAAAGUUUCGGCGGUUGGGGAUGGACUCGCGGCUUAUCAGCUGGUUGGUGGGGUAGUGGCGUACCAAGGCUUUGACGGGUAGCCGGCCUGGGAGCUUGACCGGCCACAUUGCGACUGCGAUACGGCCCAGACUCGUACGGGAGGCAGCGGUGGGGAGUAUUGCACAAUGGGCCGACGCCUGAUGCAGCGCCGCCGCGUGCGUGAUGACGGCCUUCGGGUUGUGAACCGCUUUCGCAUGUGCCGAAGCGUGAGUGACGGUACUGGGUAAAGAAGCACCGGCUAACUACGUG
rnacentral:rRNA from 1 species